rnacentral:rRNA from 1 species
ACGGAAGGCAGCAGUGGGGGAUAUUGCACAAUGGGCGCAAGCCUGAUGCAGCAACGCCGCGUGAGGGAAGACGGUUUUCGGAUUGUAAACCUCUGUUUUUGGUGAAGAUAGUGACGGUAGCCAAGGAGGAAGCCACGGCUAACUACGUGCCAGCAGCCGCGGUAAUACGUAGGUGGCAAGCGUUAUCCGGAAUUACUGGGUGUAAAGGGAGCGCAGGCGGGAUAGCAAGUCAGCGGUGAAAAUUAUGGGCUUAACCCAUAAACUGCCGUUGAAACUGUUAUUCUUGAGUGGAGUAGAGGCAGGCGGAAUUCCGAGUGUAGCGGUGAAAUGCGUAGAUAUUCGGAGGAACACCAGUGGCGAAGGCGGCCUGCUGGGCUCUAACUGACGCUGAGGCUCGAAAGUGUGGGGAGCAAACAGGAUUAGAUACCCUGGUA